rnacentral:rRNA from 1 species
GAUGAACGCUGGCGGCGUGCCUAAUACAUGCAAGUCGAGCGAACAGACGAGGAGCUUGCUCCUCUGACGUUAGCGGCGGACGGGUGAGUAACACGUGGUUAACCUACCUAUAAGACUGGGAUAACUUCGGGAAACCGUAGCUAAUACCGGAUAAUAUAUUGAACCGCAUGGUUCAAUAGUGAAAGACGGUUUUGCUGUCACUUAUAGAUGGAUCCGCGCCGCAUUAGCUAGUUGGUAAGGUAACGGCUUACCAAGGCAACGAUGCGUAGCCGACCUGAGAGGGUCAUCGGCCACACUGGAACUGAGACAGGGUCCAGACUCCUACGGGAGGCAGCAGUAGGGAAUCUUACGCAAUGGGGGAAAGCCUGACGGAGCAACGCCGCGUGAGUGAUGAAGGUCUUCGGAUCGUAAAACUAUGUUAUCAGGGAAGAACAAAUGUGUAAGUAACUAUGAACGUCUUGACGGUACCUAAUCAGAAAGCCACGGCUAACUCCGUG